CUCAGAUCCAAAUUCAGCUUCUGUUGAUACUGUUGAAGGUUUUGCUAAACACACUGAGGAGAGCUGCAGUAAAAAGACUCGUCUGGACACUGAAAACCCACACGUCGCCCUUUGCCUGGGAGAUGAUGUGACUGCACUCAGCAGUCUCUUUCCUGAGCAGCUCCUGGUUGAUAUCCUGGCAGAAAGAUUUCAGUUAAACGACUGUCACCGUGGAAUAGUGAUUGCCGGCCUGCACUCAGUGUACACUCAGUCUGCAGCGAACGCGCUGCAAGUUGUUCUCAGAGCCCUCAACAAUCGCAAACACAUCUAUGCCGUC